CAAUUGUUUCCAAAGUGUUUAAAAGAAUUGCUUAAUAAAUGUGCAGAGUGCAGUUGCAAGUGCUGUUUUUGCUCUGCAUCCCCCUGUGUCCUGAUUUGUUCGAGACUUUCCCAGGGACCCCGACGCACUAGAUGUCAACAGAGAGUUCUCUGUUUAGGUUUGUCCUCUGUUCUGCUUCAGUCAGUGUCUGGGAAGAGGGAAUUCCCUCAUCAGUGAAGAUCAGGCUCUAUGACACUGACUACUAGAAGAUAAAGAAUAAAGAAAAUUCCCAACAAGAAGAUCACACAGCUUGUUCAAAUCACACAGCUAAUGGGAGACAAGAACGAACACUGCCAGAGUUCAAUAUCUUAACCUUGCCAUCCUGCUUCUCUUCGGGUCAUCCUGCCCACUAUGUCCACUUGACAGUCACCAUGUAAACUGUUUUAACCUAAGUUUCUAGUCCUGGUUGAUUUCAGCCAAAGUGAUGUGAAGAGUAACUGCUAUUUUCCAAUAGCCAUUCUCCCAAUAUAACUUAUUACAUGAAGUAAAGUUAAUUAAUGAUAAAGUCUGUUCAUAUAUCUAGAAUAUGUUAUCCAUCUAUUUUAGAAAUUUUAUAACAGGAAAAUGUGGUACA